ensembl:lncRNA
CAGGAUGAGUGGGUUUUUAGGGAGCAUUCUCUGGAAAACAAACCAUUCCCUCUGGUUCAGUAUGGUGGGUUAGUGUGGAAAGGUGAUGUUUUUGAGAUGUACGAACACAGAUGGUGAUGGAUACGAACAGGCUGAUGAAGGUACCAUCGAUUCUCAUUUUCUUUUCUUAACCAGGGCAUACAAGGUAAAAAAAAAAAAUUAAAAAAAAUCCACUUUUUUUUAGGAGCGUUCUCAUGCUCUGCUUCUUGAAAGAAGGUGGGAUGAAACAAUGGGUUGUGAACAUAAUUUAUUGCUUUGGUAAUCACCAUGAAUCUGUUUUUAUUUCCAUCUUUCUUUUCUUUUUUGCAGGCUGUGCAUGUUUGCUCUUGGAAAUCAUCUGUUCCUGAACAUCAUCAUGGCUUGACACAAGAUUCGUCCAACCAUUCCAGUAAUGCAUUGGAAUGCCUUGAGGUUGGAUCCCAGUGGAUUCCGCAACUCAAUCAAGGUUUCACCAAAGUUUCACCAAAUGACUCAUGCUUGGAAUGGAUAUGCAGAAGGAAAAACUG